AGAGUUUGAUCAUGGCUCAGGAUGAACGCUAGCGGCAGGCCUAAUACAUGCAAGUCGAACGCUCAGUAGCAAUACUGGGAGUGGCGCACGGGUGCGUAACGCGUACACAAUCUACCUCUAAGCGGGGGACACCUCCUGGAAACGGGGAUUAAUACCGCAUAAUAUGCCGAGGUCGCAUGACUUUGGUAUUAAAGCAGCAAUGCACUUAGAGAUGAGUGUGCGUCCCAUUAGGUAGUUGGUGAGGUAACGGCUCACCAAGCCUAUGAUGGGUAGCCGGUCUGAGAGGAUGGUCGGCCACACGGGCACUGAGACACGGGCCCGACUCCUACGGGAGGCAGCAGUAAGGAAUAUUGGUCAAUGGUGGAAACACUGAACCAGCCAUGCCGCGUGGAGGAAUAAGGUCCUACGGAUUGUAAACUCCUUUUGACGAGGAAGAAAGUAUUAGAUUUAUCUAAUUUUGACGGUACUCGUAGAAUAAGCACCGGCUAACUCCGUG
rnacentral:rRNA from 1 species